rnacentral:rRNA from 1 species
AUACUGAGGGUGCAAGCGUUAAUCGGAAUUACUGGGCGUAAAGCGCGCGUAGGCGGUUGGAUAAGUCGGAUGUGAAAGCCCCGGGCUCAACCUGGGAAUUGCAUUCGAAACUGUCCGGCUAGAGUAUGGUAGAGGGAAGCGGAAUUCCACAUGUAGCGGUGAAAUGCGUAGAUAUGUGGAGGAACACCAGUGGCGAAGGCGGCUUCCUGGACCAAUACUGACGCUGAGGUGCGAAAGCGUGGGGAGCAAACAGGAUUAGAAACCCUUGUAGUCC